CUACGGGAGGCAGCAGUGAGGAAUAUUGGUCAAUGGGCGGAAGCCUGAACCAGCCAAGUCGCGUGAGGGAUUAAGGCCCUGCGGGUCGUAAACCUCUUUUGCCGGGGAGCAGAGGUCCGGACGUGUCCGGGCCGGGAGAGUACCCUGCGAAAAAGCAUCGGCUAACUCCGUGCCAGCAGCCGCGGUAAUACGGAGGAUGCGAGCGGUAUCCGGAUUGAUUGGGGUUAACGGGUGCGUAGGCGGGCCUUUAAGCCGGCGGUCAAAUGUCGGGGCUCAACCCCGGCCUGCCGUCGGAACUGGGUGCCUUGAGUGGGCGAGAAGUAGGCGGAAUGCGUGGUGUAGCGGUGAAAUGCAUAGAUAUCACGCAGAACCCCGAUUGCGAAGGCAGCAUACCGGAGCCCGACUGACGCUGAGGCACGAAAGUGCGGGUAUCGAACAGGAUUAGAUACCCGUGUAGUC
rnacentral:rRNA from 1 species